rnacentral:rRNA from 1 species
CUUAGCCGGUACUCGCGAAUNCAUCUAGAUUAGAGUUUGAUCAUGGCUCAGAUUGAACGCUGGCGGCANAGCUUAACACAUGCAAGUCGAGCGGGGAAGGGUAGCUUGCUACCUGACCUAGCGGCGGACGGGUGAGUAAUGCUGAGGAAUCUGCCUAUUAGUGGGGGACAACAUCUCGAAAGGGAUGCUAAUACCGCAUACGUCCUACGGGAGAAAGCAGGGGAUCUUCGGACCUUGCGCUAAUAGAUGAGCCUAAGUCGGAUUAGCUAGUUGGUGGGGUAAAGGCCUACCAAGGCGACGAUCUGUAGCGGGUCUGAGAGGAUGAUCCGCCACACUGGGACUGAGACACGGCCCAGACUCCUACGGGAGGCAGCAGUGGGGAAUAUUGGACAAUGGGGGGAACCCCGAUCCAGCCAUGCCGCGUGUGUGAAGAAGGCCUUAUGGUUGUAAAGCACUUUAAGCGAGGAGGAGGCUACUUUAGUUAAUACCUAGAGAUAGUGGACGUUACUCGCAGAAUAAGCACCGGCUAACUCUGUGCCAGCAGCCGCGGUAAUACAGAGGGUGCAAGCGUUAAUCGGAU